GACGAACGCUGGCGGCGUGCUUAACACAUGCAAGUCGAACGGAAAGGCCCUGCUUGCAGGGUACUCGAGUGGCGAACGGGUGAGUAACACGUGGGUGAUCUGCCCUGCACUUCGGGAUAAGCUUGGGAAACUGGGUCUAAUACCGGAUAGGAACCAUCUUUAGUGUGGUGGUUGGAAAGUUUUUUCGGUGUAGGAUGAGCUCGCGGCCUAUCAGCUUGUUGGUGGGGUAAUGGCCUACCAAGGCGGCGACGGGUAGCCGGCCGGAGAGGGUGUAGGGCCACAGGGGGACGGGGGAACGGCCCACAGUCCUACGGGAGGCAGCUGGGGGGAAUAUGGAACAAUGGGCGCAAGCCUGAUGCAGCGACGCCGCGUGGGGGAUGAAGGCCUUCGGGUUGUAAACUCCUUUCGCUAGGGACGAAGCUUUGUUGUGACGGUACCUAGAGAAGAAGCACCGGCUAACUACGCG
rnacentral:rRNA from 1 species